GAUGAACGCUGGCGGCGUGCCUAAUACAUGCAAGUCGAGCGAACAGACGAAGAGCUUGCUCCUCUGACGUUAGCGGCGGACGGGUGAGUAACACGUGGAUAACCUACCUAUAAGACUGGGAUAACUUCGGGAAACCGGAGCUAAUACCGGAUAAUAUAUUGAACCGCAUGGUUCAAUAGUGAAAGACGGUUUUGCUGUCACUUAUAGAUGGAUCCGCGCCGCAUUAGCUAGUUGGUAAGGUAACGGCUUACCAAGGCAACGAUGCGUAGCCGACCUGAGAGGGUGAGCGGCCAGACUGGAACUGAGACACGGUCCAGACUCCUACGGGAGGCAGCAGUAGGGAAUCUUCCGCAAUGGGCGAAAGCCUGACGGAGCAACGCCGCGUGAGUGAUGAAGGUCUUCGGAUCGUAAAACUCUGUUAUUAGGGAAGAACAAAUGUGUAAGUAACUAUGCACGUCUUGACGGUACCUAAUCAGAAAGCCACGGCUAACUACGUG
rnacentral:rRNA from 1 species